rnacentral:lncRNA from 7 species
AGACCUUUGUUGCAUCGAGUCUGUGGUUUGACUAUGGUUUCCUGGCUGACCUUCUGGUUUGAUCUCGGACCUGUCUCAGGAGGCUGUUUGGUGAUGCAGACUCUCCACCUGAACCUGGCAGCCAUCUUUGGGUUUGCUCAACUCACCUCACUAGUAUCUCAAAAAUUGGAUCAGAAUUCUGGGAAGGCAGUGAGGAUACGGAGUAACAGAGCCAUUCCCUUGGCCACCAGUGGAUUCAUGCAAAGUGUAGGAUGUGAGGACAUACCAAGGACAGCUGGGGGGGACUAUGAUAAGACCCAUUAAAACACGGAUGGUGCAAAUAUCGUGGAGCGGAAAUAACUAGCAGAAGUUAUGCAGUAUGAUUAUCAACCAGAGGGCUAACGAAGAAAAGCAAAGUAUUUCAUUUUGCACUCAGAAACUACCUAAAUAAAUCCUUACCAGCUGAUAUUCUGCACUACAACUGGUUCAAAGAAGGAAUUAGACAAGUUAAUAGGUCUGUCAAGAGCUAUCGAACGCACUGGCUGAAUCACAGAUGUCCAGAUAAGGAUGCUGUAAACCAUUUAUUUCUUAAAACCGCAAGGAUGUAACAUGUAGCAACUCCUCUGCAACUGCCUUGCUUCCAAAACCCUUUCCCCUGCUCCCCGUUGCCAGUCACCGUGGAGAUGUGACCCUGAGUGGGAUGGAUUCUUGGUCUCACCCAAUAGAACAGAGAAAACUGCUGCAAUGCAUUCUGGUCUUGAACGCUUAGUCUGCAUCCUUUUCAUUAGGAGAAAAAUAAUGGGUUGAAACUGAGUUUCUCAGUUUACAUUUUAAUACAAUUUCUAUUGCUGCCUUGUUGUUUCUAUCUCGUUCACCAAAGAUCUGAUCCGAAUCCUUCUGAAGCAUUUCUCUAAAAUAAGCACAUACAAUUCCUUUGUAAAGAUCUAUCAUGGAGCUUCCAGAAGUAUUAAAUUUCCUUCUUGAGAUCUGAUCUACUUCAUUCAAACCAUCCAUUACAUUCUCCUAAACGGAGCACAGGAGAGCAGAAACUGAAUUCUAAUGUUCUUUGGAAAUGUAAUUUAUCCAUCUGUAAAAUAAAAUUGAGGAUAUUUUCUCUUAUGAAAACAUUACAGCGCUGCUGAGAAGUAAAUCUAAUUUUGCCUUGAGAUUUGUGUACCUAAAAUAUUCACCAUGACAAAAAUAAAUAUGCAGUGUAUUUGCAGUACGCUAAAAGAGACAGUCCUAUUGCAUGGGAUUAU